UACGGAGGGUGCAAGCGUUAAUCGGAAUUACUGGGCGUAAAGCGUGCGCAGGCGGUUGUGUAAGUCAGAUGUGAAAUCCCCGGGCUCAACCUGGGAAUUGCAUUUGAGACUGCACGGCUAGAGUGUGUCAGAGGGGGGUAGAAUUCCACGUGUAGCAGUGAAAUGCGUAGAGAUGUGGAGGAAUACCGAUGGCGAAGGCAGCCCCCUGGGAUAACACUGACGCUCAUGCACGAAAGCGUGGGGAGCAAACAGG
rnacentral:rRNA from 1 species